AAUAGCAUACCAAAUCAGGCAAGAUGGUGUAUGAGUGUAAUCCCAGCAUUCUGGAUGGCUGAGGCAAGAAGAUCACAAGGUGAAGUUCAAUCUUACCAAUUUUGUGACUUAGGGAGACCCUUAGUGCAUAUCUGACAAAAAAAAGUCCAAGGAUAUACCUGUAGUUCAUUGUGGAGUUGUAGGGUACAAGCCCUAGCAAUACAAAAGUAAAAAACUAAUAGAUAGAUGAUAGCUACAUUCAAAACAUUAGAUAAAAAUAAUAAAAUAAAUAAAUAACCACUGAUUUACUUAGUAGGAAGAAAAAGAUGAGCCAUAGGGUUAUCUUAUCAGACAGGGAACUCCAGUUGUGGAAUUCUAAGACAUAGCCUCAUUUCCUUGGCAACAUGUCCAAACAGAAAUUGGAACCCUUAUUAUCAGGCAUCACACUGUAGUAACUGCCAUCGCCUGAGCUCACUUGGCCAGAAAUGGUCAACAGUGAACAUGCUGGUGUGCUUUCCCACUUCUUGAGGCUGCAACCCAGGCAGAGAAAGGAUAUGUCAAAGAUUGAGAAGAUGGUGGAUUCCAUCCAGACAACACACGCAACAUUACAGCAGUCUUCUGUCACCAAUGACCUACCAAAAUCAAGGAAAACAAUUUUUCAUCUAAGCAGAAUGUCAACUAUGCUUGCUUCUCUCCAAACUACAUUACCUGUACAUUUGGGCCCCAACUGAUGUAGUCUUCAGGGAAAUCCAAAAACUAAUAACAAUUUUAAAUAAAUCUGCA
rnacentral:lncRNA from 1 species